GACGACGCUGGCGGCGUGCUUAACACAUGCAAGUCGAACGAGUGGCGAACGGGUGAGUAAUGUCUGGGAAACUGCCUGAUGGAGGGGGAUAACUACUGGAAACGGUAGCUAAUACCGCAUACCAUCAGAAGUGCCCAGAUGGGAUUAGCUAGUAGGUGGGGGAAUGGAUCACCUAGGCGACGAUCCCUAGCUGGUCUGAGAGGAUGACCAGCCACACUGGAACUGAGACACGGUCCAGACUCCUACGGGAGGCAGCAGUGGGGAAUAUUGCACAAUGGGCGCAAGCCUGAUGCAGCCAUGCCGCGUGUGUGAAGAAGGCCUUCGGGUUGUAAAGCACUUUCAGCGAGGAGGCGUUACUCGCAGAAGAAGCACCGGCUAACUCCGUGCCAGCAGCCGCGGUAAUUC
rnacentral:rRNA from 1 species